UGUUUUGCUCCCGCCUUUCCUACCAUUUUUACCCUCUCAAUUUUUAGUCAGAAGUGAGAUAAUCAGAUGCCAUCUUCCAUGGAUAUAGUUAUUUAUGCAAUAUACUGCUCUAAACAAGGCCCUUGUUAACCCUUUUAUUUUAACUAACCACUACCCAGUUGUUCUAAGCAGCAUUCUGGGGCCAUGGUACCACUUUUCUCCAGCCCCAGCAGUGGAGCUUGGCUGUGUCUCUCUCAAGAACAGAUGGGCUGGGCAGCCGCCUUGGGGGUGUGGCGUGAGGCAAAGCCUCUUGAACACAAAUGGUAUCCUCCUCAUAAUGGCUUUAUUCCUUCAGAUCCUAUUAAAGUAGUCCUGCAGCUUGUAGUAGUGUUUGACCUCUGUGAAUCUCUGUUUUCUCAUCUGUAAAAUGGGGAUAAUAACAGCAACUAUCUUUAAAUUCAGCAAAUACUUACUGAGUGCCUAAUAUCACCCCGAUACUGUUCUAGAGACUGGGGACAGCAGUGAACAAAUCAGAUAAAAAAUAAAUGCCCUCAGAGAGCCUACAUUUGAGUGACGUUGCAGAUUUACCAUAAGGAUUAAGUGAGGUGAUGUUCGGAAAGCAUUCAUGGCAAGGUGUAGUGUAGAGAAGGAACUCAAGGCAUUAUUUGUAAUGUGUCGAUCCCACACAGUAGCACUAGGGCUCAGGAUGUAAGCCACAUAGAAGUAGAUUUUUGCAGAUUUGGACCCAGGAUUAGGGCUAUAUAAAAAUGCAAUGAGUUGUCCUGGUCAUUUUAGGACAUUCAAAAUUUGGCUGUAUCACCACUUAGUGGGGCAAUUGUAAAGGGGGCACAAGCCCAGGAUGUUGGAGUUGGGUUGUAACCCUUGAAAGAAUGGGAUACAGGCACUUGGGGAUGGGGGCAGGGAGUGGGGAGGGCACUUAUAUUUAAUUACUGUGCCUGGCUUGUCUGAAGACAUUUGAACAUUCCUUUUGGGUAAUUUGCUUUUAAGUUUGUGCUACAUAAAAAGUACCAGGUAUUUGAAGACAAAGUUUCUAUUUUUUAAAAGCAUGGUAAAGCUGCAACACGAAGGAAAAUAUUAAAUUAGUACUACUGGAUUCUCUGGCAAAGAACUGAGAAUGGCUUCAGCCAGCACAUUGCAGUGUUCCUCCCUGUGGUGGUUACAACUGUUUAUUUCUGUUUCAUGCCAGUCCAAGAGAAAGCAAAGAGGAAAGUGAAUGAGCUAAAAUCCAUUCACCUGAAUAGGCAGUGUCAGGAUGUCCUCCCCAGCCCACCUCUCACCUGCCCCCUUCUUCCCAGGUGAUCUGUUUGAAGUCCUCUUUGAUAUCUAGGAGGGCGCCAUGCAAGGAAGAGGAAGUGAGGUGACCAGAGAGCUAUGGCCUCUGUGCAGAUUUUUAAGUUAGAUUAAAAUUAGCACCGCAAGGGUUUGGAGGAGCCCACCUGGUGGGUAAAGAAGGCUUCUUUUCAAAGUAUAAGGAAAGCAAUGUGUACCAAGGAGGCAACCCACCAAGGAACCUUGGGGGAAGGAAUGCUGUUCCUGUGGAAUGUGCCAGCCUCUUCUCCUUCCAGAAUGUUGACACCAGAUGAAUCUUUGGAUAGAAUUAAGCUUACUCCCUCAUUUUUCACAUAAGAAAACUGAAACAUGGAGAAGUGAAAUUACAUGCGCACAGCUAGUUAGAAGCAGAUACAGGACUGUGAUGGAAGUCUCCUAGUUCCUAGCCUCAGUCCUGUCCCCAUUCUGCCACUUUACUGCCAAAUUCUAUGUAUCUAAAUUAUGGGGUCUUAACCUAGGGGCCAUGAAUAAAUUGUUGGGAGGGUGGGACUCUGAACUCCCUAAAAUUAAAUUAUAUGCAAAAAUGUGUGUCUGUGUUCAAUAUGUGCAUUUUCCUAAAGAGAGAGCUCACAGUUGUCAUCAGAUUCCAAAAGAGGUCUGUGACCCA
rnacentral:lncRNA from 1 species